UCCAAGAAAUCGUACUUAAAUACAAUGGAGCUACAACGCUCCAAUUCAUACAUGCUUCACCAGCAAGCGCCGGCCAACCCAUAACUGCACCAUAUCCAAAGGUUAAGCCUAAUACUACUUGAGGAUAAUAAGUGAUACGCUUCAUGGCUGGGUAUAUGCACACUGGAACAAGUGAAGCAACACCUAGUUUAAUUGUGUAAGGGUUCAAUUGUAGCAAAAUACCAAGACUAGCAGUUAGCUGAACAGAUAAAAGGGAAAUAGCUUGACGGACUGAAAGCUUUCCACUAGCCAGAGGUCUGGAUUUGCUUCUUUCCACCUUCGCAUCUAAUUCACGAUCCCACAAAUCGUUGAUGACACAGCCAGCACUUCUCAUAAGAAAUGAUCCAACACCAAACAGUGCAAGCAUUUUCGUUACAUUGACAAGGCUGCUAUCGUAUGCAUAAGCGGCCAUAAGAAUUGACCAUGUACAUGGACUAUAUAAUAGAUAAGUACCUGUGGGGGAACCAGCACGUGAAAUUUCAGCGUAGUAUUGCCAUCUUUUAGAAAAUAAAUCCUUCCAAGAUUUUUUGCUAGGAGAAAUCAGGUUGGGGGUUACAGAGUUUGACGAAUUUGUUCUCAGCUGUAAAGGCUUGAUUUUAACCGCUUGAAAUAUUGCGACAGCACUCCAGCUUGGUGUUCUAAGAAAGUAUCUAGCCGGUGACGCUAUAGGCUUAAUUAUCAUUGUUUAACCUAGAUUUGUUGUAGUGACACGUUGAGGAAGUAGUGCCAUUUCCAUAUCAUACCAGAUGUGCUUUGGACGUUUGAUAGCAGGAAGACUGAAACUUUUACGAUUAACAUCAC